UUUUAUAAAAAAUUCCUGAUAUGUUACACUUCAUAAUUUUUAAACAAUAAUUUUUUUCAUCUAUUUGUGUUAGUAAAAAUGUUAUGGAGAUGUUUAUGUAACUCUCCUUUGUUAAACUUAGUGUGUGAGUAAUUAUUUUUAAUAUGUAUGUAAUUUUAGGCAUGAUCUCCAACAAAACAGUUUGAAAAUGGUUGCUCUGAGGCUGACUUUCACCACAACAUGACAUCCAUCACAGAAUGUGGUCUCAGCUAUCAUCCGAGAAUUAUGUUUGAACCCAGGUUGCAAGUAAUGUCAUAUUGUGUGAUUGUCACAUGAAGUUGGCUGGAAGUGCAGUGGCAUAGUUGGUAAACUGGAAGACAAGAGAAAGUUGAAGGCAUUCCACAAAGCCUCUUACGAAAGGAAGCUAGAGAUAAUUAACAAGCCGAAGCAAGUGUCAAAGUGGCUAAAGUGACAGAAUUGUUCUCUGCAGUUAUACAAUUAGGAUAAGAAUAUUUACUAAAAAUAAAACUUCCAUUACCCAAUA